GUGAACUUUACGAGCAACAAAGACAAGAAUAGCUGGUAUAUCUGUCAAAACACCCCGUCGAAUACGGAACCCAAUUGCUGUGCCAAGACUAAACCUGCGCAGCUUUUUACUGUGAAAUGCUCUAAUGGUCAUCAACUCAAGUAAGGUGGUUGCUUGCUGCCCUGAUGGUAACCGUCCAAGAGUUUCUGGCAACACACCUUUCUGUAGGUUCCCAAAAUAGUUUGCUCUAUCUUCUGCCGCAUCAAUUAAUCGACUUGAAGUAGGCCAUGAGAAGUAGGCAGCAUUGCUCUCGGGAUGCUGAGUGCCGGAUGCAAAGGGUUGAAUAGG
rnacentral:lncRNA from 1 species